rnacentral:rRNA from 1 species
UUGAGUGGUCAUAGCAAAGGGGAUCACCUGAAUCCAUUCCGAACUCAGUAGUUAAGCCCUUUAACGCCGAAAAUACCAGCAAUGGGAAGAUAGGAAACUGCUCUUU